GGUAUCAGAAGUGCGAAUGCUGACAUAAGUAACGAUAAAGCGGGUGAAAAGCCCGCUCGCCGGAAGACCAAGGGUUCCUGUCCAACGUUAAUCGGGGCAGGGUGAGUCGACCCCUAAGGCGAGGCCGAAAGGCGUAGUCGAUGGGAAACGGGUUAAUAUUCCCGUACUUGGUGUUACUGCGAAGGGGGGACGGAGAAGGCUAUGUUGGCCGGGCGACGGUUGUCCCGGUUUAAGCGUGUAGGUGUGUGUUCCAGGUAAAUCCGGUUCACUUUAACACUGAGGCGUGAUGACGAGGCACUACGGUGCUGAAGUAACAAAUGCCCUGCUUCCAGGAAAAGCCUCUAAGCAUCAGGUAACAUCAAAUCGUACCCCAAACCGACACAGGUGGUCAGGUAGAGAAUACCAAGGCGCUUGAGAGAACUCGGGUGAAGGAACUAGGCAAAAUGGUGCCGUAACUUCGGGAGAAGGCACGCUGACACGUAGGUGAAGUGAUUUACUCAUGGAGCUGAAGUCAGUCGAAGAUACCAGCUGGCUGCAACUGUUUAUUAAAAACACAGCACUGUGCAAACACGAAAGUGGACGUAUACGGUGUGACGCCUGCCCGGUGCCGGAAGGUUAAUUGAUGGGGUCAGCGCAAGCGAAGCUCCUGAUCGAAGCCCCGGUAAACGGCGGCCGUAACUAUAACGGUCCUAAGGUAGCGAAAUUCCUUGUCGGGUAAGUUCCGACCUGCACGAAUGGCGUAAUGAUGGCCAGGCUGUCUCCACCCGAGACUCAGUGAAAUUGAACUCGCUGUGAAGAUGCAGUGUACCCGCGGCAAGACGGAAAGACCCCGUGAACCUUUACUAUAGCUUGACACUGAACAUUGAGCCUUGAUGUGUAGGAUAGGUGGGAGGCUUUGAAGCGUGGACGCCAGUCUGCGUGGAGCCGACCUUGAAAUACCACCCUUUAAUGUUUGAUGUUCUAACGUGGACCCGUUACCCGGGUUGCGGACAGUGUCUGGUGGGUAGUUUGACUGGGGCGGUCUCCUCCUAAAGAGUAACGGAGGAGCACGAAGGUUGGCUAAUCCUGGUCGGACAUCAGGAGGUUAGUGCAAUGGCAUAAGCCAGCUUGACUGCGAGCGUGACGGCGCGAGCAGGUGCGAAAGCAGGUCAUAGUGAUCCGGUGGUUCUGAAUGGAAGGGCCAUCGCUCAACGGAUAAAAGGUACUCCGGGGAUAACAGGCUGAUACCGCCCAAGAGUUCAUAUCGACGGCGGUGUUUGGCACCUCGAUGUCGGCUCAUCACAUCCUGGGGCUGAAGUAGGUCCCAAGGGUAUGGCUGUUCGCCAUUUAAAGUGGUACGCGAGCUGGGUUUAGAACGUCGUGAGACAGUUCGGUCCCUAUCUGCCGUGGGCGCUGGAGAACUGAGGGGGGCUGCUCCUAGUACGAGAGGACCGGAGUGGACGCAUCACUGGUGUUCGGGUUGUCAUGCCAAUGGCACUGCCCGGUAGCUAAAUGCGGAAGAGAUAAGUGCUGAAAGCAUCUAAGCACGAAACUUGCCCCGAGAUGAGUUCU
rnacentral:rRNA from 1 species